rnacentral:misc_RNA from 1 species
GAUGAAGAACGCAGCGAAAUGCGAUACGUAAUGUGAAUUGCAAAUUCAGUGAAUCAUCGAGUCUUUGAACGCACAUUGCGCCCCCUGGUAUUCCGGGGGGCAUGCCUGUCCGAGCGUCAUUGCUGCCCUCAAGCACGGCUUGUGUGUUGGGCCCCGUCCUCCGAUCCCGGGGGACGGGCCCGAAAGGCAGCGGCGGCACCGCGUCCGGUCCUCGAGCGUAUGGGGCUUUGUCACCCGCUCUGUAGGCCCGGCCGGCGCUUGCCGAUCAACCCAAAUUUUUAUCCAGGUUGACCUCGGAUCAGGUAGGGAUACCCGCUGAACUUAAGCAUAUCAAUAAGGCGGAGGA